CAACCAGUUAUGCACCCACCUUAUAGUAGCUCCAUCUAGGUUUUAUUUCCCUAGUUUGUUUAUGAGACGGUCAUGCAAGACAGAAUCAAAAGCUUGACUAAAGUCAAGAUCUACCACGUCUACUGCUUUCCCACUCCCGCAACCCCCCCCCCGCCCCCCCCGCAUCCACAGGGCUUGUUACCUUGUC